rfam:Ascochyta rabiei strain ArDII scaffold_148, whole genome shotgun sequence.
GCCCUCUUGGCUUAGUGGUAAAGCGUAUCACUAGUAUUUCCAACAGCUCUUGCGAGUUGCCCUGGUUAGCAAAUGAUAAGAUCGCUCGUUCGAUUCGGGCAGAGGGCA